GGGGAACUGGUUUUGGGGGAUUUCAGAGAAGCCAGACAGACGUUUUGCUGCAUGCACGCCCCAGAAGGUGUGUGCAACCCCCUUCUCUUGCCUGGAGAGCAGUGAUCACCUGACUCUACUUUGCGCAUGCCUGGUGGGAUCCUUGGGCUAUUUUGGGUGCCAUAAAAGUACACAAAUCUUCCAAGCUAACUUUCCAUCUUCUCGUGGUGAAAUGUUAGCCAACCAUAUAUACAUUAAGAAAAAUAAUAAUACAGAGAAGAGUCAUAGGGAUGGAAACACUAACAUUACAUUUAUCAUAACAUCUCAGAAAUAUUUAGCUCUGGAGAAACCUAAAUUAAAAGUUGACGAUUGCAGAUGGCAAGAACUUCCCCAUUGGAGAAGAUGAAAUGAACUAGCAACUCUUGCGCCAGAUCGAUCUUGUUCUUGAAGCACAAACAAAUAAUGGGCUUUAUGAAUAGGAUUUCAAGGUGAAAAUCAAUUGAAUCAGUUUAUUUGUGUGAGCGAGGUUUUUUCCCCCUGAAACUCAGAGUUAGGGAAGAGACAAAGCGCCAAGAAAUCCAGAGGGCUUGUUCUUUGCCAUCACGACCAAAAUGACUGUUUUCGAAAAAUGCCACUUCUCUUUAUGAAGAAACUUUUUAAUUCAUUGAAACCUUGGGUUCUUCGUUCAUAAGAUAAAUGCGCUUUGCGAUACAAAACGCUAAAGCUUCUGUUCAGGCACAGAGUGUUGGCAGUGUGUUCCCCUGGCAAAGUAGGGGAUUGGUCACACUAAAUAUCAAAAUAACCUUUAUCUAUGGAGAAAUUGGGGGAUGUUUGUAUAUGCAUUUCUAUCUUCACGAAGCCUGAGUUAGUUUAAGCCUUAACUCUACAGUCUAUUCACUCCUGCACCCCCAUUGUUAUAUGGUUAUUAAACCUGGAACAAGUUGGAGGUCAGGCAAGAAAAAGGAAAAACAACCGUCUGGAAGCCCACGUGCGGGCUGGAGUCUAGAUUUGCAUCGAAGCCACCUGCAAGUGAAACAGCUUCGCACCUUCCAAAUUCACUCCGCGCUUUGCAGCAUGGAACCAAGGCACUCGCCCCAGCGAACCUAGAACUAUGAGCUACCGCGCCUAGAGACUAGUCUUGCAGCAGGGCCGCAUUUUGCUUCGCAAAGGGCAAGAAAGCUGGGGAAGCGGUUGCGAUUUAUUUCUGCUAAGAGGGCAUCCCUUUUCUUGUCUUUUUUUUUUACUACACACACACACACACACACACACACACACACACACACACACACACACAUUUCUAGGAGGCUACUCCACCGCGCCCAGACUUAAAACAGUGACACACCAAUCCGAUGCUGCGACUCCCGGUUCAAUGUGAACAGCAGAAGUGAUCUCAAUCUACUGGUUUGUUUGGAGAGGAAGAAAUUAAGGAUCGGGUGGGCAAAAACUGUCUUUGUUCUGGGUCCUCCCCCUGCCCCAUCCCACUUAGAAAUUAUGGCACACCACUGUACCUUUCAUUUCCUCGUUGUCGCAACUGCUCACGCUUUGUUGCAAAGAGCAGGCCAAACCCAGCUCACCUUCUUCCUCGGAAGAGAGAUCUCGCACCAGAAGGAACUCGUGGCACCAUUAAGGGGCCCAAGAACUCACCCAGUAUUAGACAGAAGAGGGGGAGGGGCAGAUGUAUACACAUAUGGCUGGAAGUGCAGGCUGGACACGCAGCUCUUUAGGGAAAAGAACCAUAAGGGGAACACUGGGGAGCUGCUGGCUUCGGAGACCUUUUGGAAAAUCUGGCCCCAAUUGUGGGUACAGGGCUCUUGAAAAUUUGGCCCAUAGUGGAGAAUUUGGUCAAAUCUUUAAUAAUAAUAAUAAUAAUAAUAAAUACCCCAGAAGGUUGCAACAAAUAUCAGUCCCAUGUUGUAACAUCCAGAAGUUAAUGAAGUUACACCCAGGGUGAAUUAGGCCCAAUGUAUCUUCUAUAGUUAAUAAGUAUGUAUCGAUCUCUAUACAUACACCAAAUCACUGUGUAUAUCUUUUGUAUGACACUUUAUAUGCUGGAUACACAAGAAGGGUGUACUUUAUAGGUUCAUGUAUGUACAUAGUAUCUACUUAUACACAAACUUAAAUACUCUACACCCAGGGGUCUUUGUUCAGGCAAAAUUAGCAUAUACUUCAAUGGGAACUUCCCCUAACUAAAGUAUUACACUUCGGUUUAUUUUAGCACACACCUGGCUCCGUUCAAGUCAAAGGAAUGUUUCCAGUGGGGUCAGAAUUUCACCUAUGCCUAUACAAAGAAUAACCUAUCUGAAGGAGUGUCUACAGCGUGUACAAACAGCCGGACGAUGUCGAAUUCUGCUCUGGCCACUGCACACUGCAAAUCCGGAAUGAUUCAUCAUUUACUCUGGUGUGAAGGGAAACAGAAUCUGGCUCCAUGAUGAGUGUGUUAAGUUAAUUGAGAACUUUACUGAGGGACUCAGCAAGUGUUGCUGUUUAUUGAAACAGGCUGAAUCGUUAUCCCAACAUAAAUAACUAGGUAACAACUAG